ACACUCCUACGGGAGGCAGCAGUGGGGAAUAUUGGACAAUGGGCGCAAGCCUGAUCCAGCCAUGCCGCGUGAGUGAUGAAGGCCCUAGGGUUGUAAAGCUCUUUCACCGGUGAAGAUAAUGACGGUAACCGGAGAAGAAGCCCCGGCUAACUUCGUGCCAGCAGCCGCGGUAAUACGAAGGGGGCUAGCGUUGUUCGGAUUUACUGGGCGUAAAGCGCACGUAGGCGGACUAUUAAGUCAGGGGUGAAAUCCCGGGGCUCAACCCCGGAACUGCCUUUGAUACUGGUAGUCUUGAGUUCGAGAGAGGUGAGUGGAAUUCCGAGUGUAGAGGUGAAAUUCGUAGAUAUUCGGAGGAACACCAGUGGCGAAGGCGGCUCACUGGCUCGAUACUGACGCUGAGGUGCGAAAGCGUGGGGAGCAAACAGAAUUAGAUACCCUGGUAGUCCCA
rnacentral:rRNA from 1 species